AGCGAACGCUGGCGGCAGGCCUAACACAUGCAAGUCGAACGAACUCUUCGGAGUUAGUGGCGGACGGGUGAGUAACACGUGGGAACGUGCCUUUAGGUUCGGAAUAACUCAGGGAAACUUGUGCUAAUACCGAAUGUGCCCUUCGGGGGAAAGAUUUAUCGCCUUUAGAGCGGCCCGCGUCUGAUUAGCUAGUUGGUGAGGUAAAGGCUCACCAAGGCGACGAUCAGUAGCUGGUCUGAGAGGAUGAUCAGCCACAUUGGGACUGAGACACGGCCCAAACUCCUACGGGAGGCAGCAGUGGGGAAUAUUGCGCAAUGGGCGAAAGCCUGACGCAGCCAUGCCGCGUGAAUGAUGAAGGUCGUAGGAUUGUAAAAUUCUUUCACCGGGGACGAUAAUGACGGUACCCGGAGAAGAAGCCCCGGCUAACUUCGUG
rnacentral:rRNA from 1 species